rnacentral:rRNA from 1 species
CCUACGGGCGGCAGCAGUGGGGAAUAUUGCACAAUGGGGGAAACCCUGAUGCAGCGACGCCGCGUGAGUGAAGAAGUAUUUCGGUAUGUAAAGCUCUGUCAGCAGGGAAGAAAAUGACGGUGCGUGACUAAGAAGCACCGGCGAACUACGUUCCAGCAGCCGCGGUGAUACGUAGGGGCCAAGUGUUAUCCGGAUUUACUGGGUGUAAAGGGAGCGUAGACGGCCAGACAAGUCAGAAGUGAAAGGCCAGGGCUCAAACCUGGGAAUGCUUUUGAAACUGCCGGGCUUGAGUGCAGGAGAGGUAAGCGGAAUUCCAAGUGUAGCGGUGAAAUGCGUAGAUAUUAGGAGGAACACCAGUGGCGAAGGCGGCUUACUGGACUGUAACUGACGUUGAGGCUCGAAAGCGUGGGGAGCAAACAGGAUUAGAUACCCCAGUAGUC